UUUAACUUUAUUGUUUUCCCUCUUCUCUUGUGCUUCUUCUUCAUUCCUUUGUCUUGUAAGGGAGGUUGCUAGUUGGAAGGUUUUUGAAGCUUGGUUUUCAGCAGGGCUAUCUUUUCAACACUCUCUUUUCCAGCCAUCAUAGAUCGUUUUAGGGAGUGGUCUUGGAUCUCAUUUUGCACUUAGGCCAAUACCAGAUCAGGAGCAGUAGACCCAGGGAUCUUAGAAGACUUCUAGUAGAUGUCUUCUUUGGAGUUAUGUCUUAUGGCUUAUGUCUUUGUAUCAGUUGUAUCAUUGUUUAAGAACCUCCUUGUAGGUCAUGCUGUAUUUCAUUGCCUUGUAUUCGAGUUUGGUUGUAAACCUUAAGUUGUAUUCUUAUUUUCGUAUUUUGUCAGUUUAUUUUCUACUCCUAGUCUGUGUUUAGGUUUUGAGGCCUUGCAGGUUCACUGGGCCCCACCCUGUGGCUCUGCGGCCGUUGUCAGCGCACCAGGUUCGGGGCGUGACAAUAACAACUGAAUCAUAGAGAAAUAGAGAAAUAUUGGGGGUGUGUGUGUGUGUGUGUGUAUAUAUAUAUAAAGAUGGUCCAAAAGAGUACAAAAUUAGUUAUAUUAUUAAGGGAGUAAG